AGUUGAGAAGGCAAGGGAUAGAAGAUCACUCGUCAUGAGAAGGGAAGGAGGAUUAGCAAGAAGCACCCGUCCGCAUCAGAUCUACACAUCCUCAAGUGAUUAAGGCCUUGAGGUUAAUCAUAGACAGUCGGCCAAGGUCCCACCUAAAGAUGACCACUUCAUGCAUCUUUCUCAGUACGACCUCGGGAAGGCCAAGGACAACAAGGCGACCAUGUUUUUGUGAAGGUGGACAACUGAAAGUUCACUGGGACAGACAUGUUCCCCCAGUUCUAGUUUGAGAUUGUCUUCGAGAAGGAGGUCAAGCUCCAGGACACCUCCCAAGUCAUACAGCCUCUUAUUCUCUGGGUAUAAUUUCUUCUAGUCGGCCGACAGUGAUGAGAUGGAUUUGACUCAGAUGAAGAAUCUGAAGAUGAAGAGGAGGAAGAGAGAUUGUUCCAGCCAGCUUCAAAAAUGGUUAUCUAGAGAGAUUUAGUGGGAGGAGCUCAUAGGCACUCUUGCUAGUGCAGACGCUACGCCAUGCGCCAUGUUGGUCAUGUAUGUAUGUUGCCCGAAUCAAGAACCAAGAGGAACGCCUUCUCCGACCUUUGUGAUGACAAGGUUGUUUAUUCAGUGGAAGUUUGCUCCAUGAGUUCAUGAAGGCUGGAAAUCUGGGCGCUUUCUUAUACGCUGCCACAAUAGAUAUUCUUAGAGGCAAAAAAAUUAGCAAACGGUUGAAUUGUUGCAGGGGUCAAUAGAUUGAGUGGGUGGUCGCCACAGCAGUGACGCUGCACACCCUUCUGCUCGGGUCUCCCUAUCGCCUGGACCACGGGCCAAGAGGCACCCCUUCACCGACCUAGCUGACAACAAGAAAAGGUUCGAGCUCUCGCGUCCAUGAUGGCGGCAGCACAACACAGUGACCAGCUGGACCGCGUGUAGCUGAUGUGGUCGGCCAGCAAGCCGUCUCCGGGAACCCUCAGUGACGCCCUCGCUGUCGUGCGGUGUCCUUCAUGUUUGACUCUUGUUUAGGCGACAUAGUUUUCUUCACGUCCCCACGGUCCAGAAUCUCAAGAAUGAUGCCUUCCUCACGUCGUGACGUCGGUAGUCUCUUGCCCGAGAUGUUGUUGCCAGCGUCCACCCGGAGCUGUGGCCAGCGACCACAUCCCUGAGCAAUUGGUAGGCAUAACUGUAAAAGGUUGAUAAUGGAAAUCUCGAACUCUCUUUAACUUAGUGUCAGUGUGGUGGUUUGAUAAUUUCCAAGUACUAUGUGUGAACAAUGGUCACUGUGUUUGGUUUUAUUGGCCACUUGGUCUAAUUGGUCUACUGGCGUAAUUAAGCUAGGUAUUGUGUGUCUGGUUAGCUAAUUUAGAGAGAUGUGCUACUUUGUUUGAUAUUUUGGUUUGUUUUUGAGAUCAUCCAAUUAAUUUUCUAGUGCCCAGUAUUGUAGUGGCUCUCUUGUAUUUAGAUUCCAUUGAUUUGAUCAAGUGCUAAUGCUUGUAUACUGGGUACAUACCAAGUUUAUGUUAACUUCUAGAUUUCCUGAAAUAGUUUCUUGCGUUGUUUUUGGUAUAUUACAACAUGGUAGAUCUAUCUAAUGUAUAUGUGAUGAGCAUAUUUGUCUUGCCUUUGACGUUUGACCAAGCUUUGUAUGUGUGAUGUACUGUUGUGUAGUUACUUGCUGAUGCCAAUGGCGGUUCCCUCUAAUAUCUAAAAGUGAAGAUCUAAGGAGGCAAUUAAUGAUAAGGAUCAAGGAAGGAACUAGCUAUGGAGGUCGACAAAGAUGGGCAUGGCUGGCUUUGCACAACCCAGGCGAUGGUCCUUUUGGCUUGUUGAACCUGUGUGCUUUGUUUAGGAUAUGUGGUUUCACUAGGAUUUAUCGAGCUUGGUUUAAUGCAUUGCAACCAGUCGGCAGAUUUUGUUUAGUGUGAACUACUGGCUCAAAUUUCUGAGCUCUCAAGACAACAACAGAUUAGUUUUGUAUCUUGUGUAUGUAAAUCCAGUUGAUACAAAGAGGCGGUACAUGUGAGAUCCCCU